rnacentral:lncRNA from 1 species
UGGGAACACCAUAACCACUGUAAUACAUCUGACCUACCAAGACCUGCAUGUUUAUGUCCCCAGCUUUAGCUUCUUUCAGAAUGUCUCUGAACCACCGUUUCACACAAUCUGCAACAACCCCUGAAAGUGGCACACACCCAUUGCUCUCAAUUCCACUGCUACUAUCCAUCUAUGAUUGAUAACCCUUCUUCAAAUCACUGCAACUUCAGCAACUUUC